CUAAAACGCACCCUUUAAAAGCUUUUAUUUUUUAGUUUUAUGUUUUUUAUUUUAUUUUAUUUUUUUAAAAAUUUCAUUUCUAACCUUGGAUGAGGCGCAAGCACUGGGCGGCCGCCCAGGGCGGAUGUUGAACGCCCGCGUAGGCGGGUGCCAUAAUACCUAGGCCGGCGCUCAAAAACUACCGCCCGCUGCCUAGUUUGACUGCCUAGGCGUGAGCGAUGCGCCCAAGCCUUCUGGACCAUCAAGCGGCCGGGUAAGUGUUGGACGGUCCACAUUUUGAAACAAUAUUUUUAUUGUGUUUUUUAAUAUUUUAAUAUAAUAGUGCAAAAUUUAUCUUGCUAGUUAAAAGAAAAACUGCCACCAUAUCAGAUCCUGAUCUAUGUUAUGCUCAUUUCUAUAAUGGUUUUAGGUUCCACUUCGACCCAAAAUUUUAGGAUAUUAGUGUCUGCCUACAAGAGGAGGAUGCAUUGCAGAAGCUACGAAUUUUUUUGAAUGUAUGAUUCUUUGGUGGUAUGGAUUUGGAAAAUAAUUUAAACUGUUUUGGAUGUAUAGUUGGAAAAUAAUUUGAAGAUGGCAUUUUUGUGUUUUAGGUUCCACCUUGACCCAUUACGCGGAAUUUCAAGACAUUGACAUGUGCUUACAAGAGGAGUACGCACUACAGAAGCUUUCAAGAUAUUGACUCGUGCUUACAUGAGGAGUACGCACUCCAGAAACUCUAAACUGUUUUAGAUAGAUGAUUAUUUAGUGAUAUGGGAUUGGAAAAUAAUUCGGAGCGGGUAUAUUUGUCUCAGAGGAAAAAAUCAAAAGGUAUAGACUCCACAUUCUGUGUACUCUCGUGGGAAACAACCACACUAACCUUAUGUAAAAAAGUCUAUAUAUCCUAACCUGUUAUUGAGUGUACAAAAGUCUGGCACAGUGUAAAAAGUCUUUACAUUGUAUGAACCUUACGUAGAAAGUUAAACUUUAUGUGGAGAGUGAUGGUUUUGUUGCUAACUUUAUAAUUUGACUGAUAAGUUGAUAUUACACUUAUAAUGGAAUAAUAAUUGACUAAUAUUCAAAGUUGACAUGCAAUCGAUAAUAAUAUUAAGUAAAUUGCUGCUUGGAGCAAUACAACGUGUUAUUUUUG
rnacentral:lncRNA from 1 species